rnacentral:tRNA from 1 species
GCCGCUGUGGCUCAGGGGUAGAGCAGCUCACUCGUAAUGAGCAGGUCAUCGGUUCAAUUCCGAUCAGCGGCUCCA